UCGGCAAAACCUCUCAGCUCAAGCUGAGAAGA
rnacentral:piRNA from 1 species